GAAUGUCUAAUGAGAUGUACAAUACCAUAGCCUGUGUAACAGAUGGAAUCUAUGAAGAUAGACAUAUGUGCUUGCUUUUCUGUAAAGUUUGUCUUCCCCGACAUUGUUAUCUAUGCUCACAAAUGGAGGAUGUAAUAAAAAUAAGAAUUGUUGGACCAUUGUAGGCAUUGGUAUUAGAGGUGAUGUGUUUCCAGGCUCCACUCUUUCUGAUCAUGUUCUGCGGUUUAACAAUAUUCCACAGCACCCCAAAGCCUUAUCAUCCCUCUGUUCUAAAAUUGACGUUUCUCCUCGCCACUCCAUAGACAACUCACUGAAGUUAUAUUCCUGAGACACACAAUGAUUCACUCCCACCACUCAGCUUCUCCUCAUCAGUCCCCGAACAGUUUAGGCUUCAGAUCUUUGGAUGAUUCAACAAGUGAAGUGCAAAAGAAAAUCUGAUUUGGAAGGCUUUGGUGUGCUGACAUUUGGAAGAUGAUGAAUUCCUACCUUUACUUUUGAAUAUGCAAUUGUUUAAGACUAUUUUGUUGACUAUUGUGAUAAUGUUUUGUUUAUGUUAAUUAGGCAGUGUUGAAUAUCUUAAGACUUUUGGAUUGUUUUUUUAGAUAAUCUUGAAUGUAUUUUGACAUAAUUAUUUGGUUAUAUGUGUAAUGA